UAACAAGGUUUCCGUAGGUGAACCUGCGGAAGGAUCAUUAUUGAAUUUUAAUGAAGAGUUUGGUUGUAGCUGGUCUAUUUAUUUAGGCAUGUGCACACCUUUCUCUUUCAUCCCACACACACCUGUGAACUUGUGAGACAGUUGGGGAAUUUAUUUGUUAUUUUUUGUAAUAAAAUUAUAAUAAGUCAUUGAACCCUUCUGUCUACUCAACUCAUAUAAACUCAAUUUAUUUUAAAUGAAUGUAAUGGAUGUAACACAUCUCAUACUAAGUUUCAACAACGGAUCUCUUGGCUCUCGCAUCGAUGAAGAACGCAGCGAAAUGCGAUAAGUAAUGUGAAUUGCAGAAUUCAGUGAAUCAUCGAAUCUUUGAACGCACCUUGCGCUCCUUGGUAUUCCUUGGAGCAUGCCUGUUUGAGUAUCAUGAAAUCUUCAAAAUCAAACUUUUUGUUAACUCAAUUAGUCUGAUUUUGGCAUUGGAGGUCUUUGCAGCUUCACACCUGCUCCUCUUUGUGUAUUAGCUGGAUCUCAGUGUUAUGCUUGGUUCCACUCAGCGUGAUAAAUUAUCUAUCGCUGAGGACACCGUAAAAAGUGGCCAAGGUAAAUGCAGAUGAACCGCUUCUAAUAGUCCAUUGACUUGGACACUAUUUUUAUGAUCUGAUCUCAAAUCAGGUAGGACUACCCGCUGAACUUAAGCAUAUCAAUA
rnacentral:misc_RNA from 1 species